GAUGAACGCUGGCGGCGUGCCUAACACAUGCAAGUCGAGCGAUUCUCUUCGGAGAAGAGCGGCGGACGGGUGAGUAACGCGUGGGUAACCUGCCCUGUGCACACGGAUAACAUACCGAAAGGUAUGCUAAUACGAGAUAAUAUGCUUUUAUCGCAUGGUAGAAGUAUCAAAGCUUCUGCGGUACAGGAUGGACCCGCGUCUGAUUAGCUAGUUGGUAAGGUAACGGCUUACCAAGGCGACGAUCAGUUGCCGACCUGAGAGGGUGAUCGGCCACAUUGGAACUGAGACACGGUCCAAACUCCUACGGGAGGCAGCAGUGGGGAAUAUUGCACAAUGGGCGAAAGCCUGAUGCAGCAACGCCGCGCGAGCGAUGAAGGCCUUCGGGUCGUAAAGCUCUGUCCUCAAGGAAGAUAAUGACGGUACUUGAGGAGGAAGCCCCGGCUAACUACGUGCCAGCCGCCGCUGUAAUAC
rnacentral:rRNA from 1 species